GACGAACGCUGGCGGCGUGCUUAACACAUGCAAGUCGAACGGAAAGGCUCCUUCGGGGGUACUCGAGUGGCGAACGGGUGAGUAACACGUGGGUGAUCUGCCCUGCACUUUGGGAUAAGC
rnacentral:rRNA from 1 species